GCUGGUGUAGCUCAGUUGGUAGAGCAACUGAUUUGUAAUCAGUCGGUCGCAGGUUCGAGUCCCGUCACCAGCU
rnacentral:tRNA from 2 species